CUUAGCUCAGUUGGUUAGAGCAUCUGACUGUUAAUCAGAGGGUCGUAGGUUCAAGUCCUACAGCAGGA
rnacentral:tRNA from 1 species